UACGAAGGGGCUAGCGUUGCUCGGAAUUACUGGGCGUAAAGGGAGCGUAGGCGGGUUAUCAAGUUGGGGUGAAAGCCCAGGCUCAACCUUGGAAUUGCCUUCAAAACUGAUAGCCUAGAGUAUGAUAGAGGUAUGUGGAACUCCGAGUGUAGAGGUGAAAUUCGUAGAUAUUCGGAAGAACACCAGUGGCGAAGGCGACAUACUGGGUCAUGACUGACGCUGAGGCUCGAAAGCGUGGGAGCAACAGG
rnacentral:rRNA from 1 species